UACGUAGGGUGCAAGCGUUGUCCGGAAUUAUUGGGCGUAAAGAGCUUGUAGGCGGUUUGUCGCGUCUGCUGUGAAAUUUCGGGGCUCAACCCCGAACUUGCAGUGGGUACGGGCAGACUAGAGUGUGGUAGGGGAGACUGGAAUUCCUGGUGUAGCGGUGAAAUGCGCAGAUAUCAGGAGGAACAUCAGUGGCGAAGGCGGCCUGCUGGGCUGUUGCUGACGCUGAGGCGCGACAGCGUGGGGGAGCAAACAGG
rnacentral:rRNA from 1 species